CCUCAGAUCGACCUCGGGUCGGGAAUCGGGAUGGUCCAGCUUGAGGUGGCAGCGCGCUCGGCUCAUUGACUGCCCUCCCGCUCAUGGCCUCAGGUUCAUCUCCUCCAUCUGUUUCUUAAACCCUUUCCCUUCUCUCGGGCUCUCUCCUCCCUUGCUCUUGCGGCGACCACUGGCCGAGCGGCGGCGCCAUUUGUCACGUCUUCGCUCAGCCCUUUGCCGGCGACGAGCAUCCACCAGGAGCGUUUGAUGUAAUCUGAAAGCUGUGACCUAUUAUCUCUCGGGUGGUCCUUUCCAUGGACUUGUCAAGUAAUCUUGGUCCAUGAGGUGUAGUCUGUGCACAGCUCAUUCCUGCUUCUGCUGGUACUGUCAAUGUAAGGAGGGGAUUGGCAUCCCUCGUCUAUGCGCUGGGCAGUCCCAGGGUUUCUGCACCAAGCCCUUUUAAUCAGGAGCUGCACCCCAGUCUUGCGCCUUUCCUCUCAGGCUUGUUGCUUGAACAGCUCAGAUAAUGAGGAGCCCAGUCGGAAUUUGGCUUAUGAUGAUUAUAGCUAGUGUUUAGCUAAGAACAAGUUGACCAGGCAUUGCCGCAUCAGCAUCAUUCUAGGGAAAAAACAUAAGGGGAUUAGCUAGUGUUUCGAUGAUUGCAUUGUUUUCCUAUGCAAUAUGUUCAAUGUUAUAAAAUAAAAGCUGAGCUGAGCCUGUUUCUAAAGAAAAAUUUAAGGCAAGCUUUUGAUUGCUCUCGCAUCUAGAGUCUAUAGCAAAAGCGAAAGUUGAAAUAUAGCUAACACUGAAGGCAUGUAUAUUUGUAGAACAUUUAAUCUUUUUUUUUUUGGAAAGUAGGAUGGAACGUUGGACUGUAUAGGGCUGUAAGGAAAGAAAUAAUGGCCUCAA